GAUGAAGAACGCAGCGAAAUGCGAUAAGUAGUGUGAAUUGCAGAAUUCAGUGAAUCAUCGAAUCUUUGAACGCACAUUGCGCCCCUUGGUAUUCCAUGGGGCAUGCCUGUUCGAGCGUCAUUUGUACCUUCAAGCUUUGCUUGGUGUUGGGUGUUUGUCCUGAGGGACUCGCCUUAAAGUAAUUGGCAGCCAGUGUUUGGUUUUGAAGCGCAGCACAAGUCUCGAUUCAAAGCUAUACGCCCGCUUCCACAAGCCUUUUUCACUUUUGACCUCGGAUCAGGUAGGGAUACCCGCUGAACUUAAGCAUAUCAAUAAGCGGAGGA
rnacentral:misc_RNA from 1 species